rnacentral:rRNA from 1 species
UACGUAGGGUGCGAGCGUUAAUCGGAAUUACUGGGCGUAAAGCGUGCGCAGGCGGUUUUGUAAGCCAGAUGUGAAAUCCCCGGGCUUAACCUGGGAAUGGCAUUUGGGACUGCAAGGCUGGAGUGUGGCAGAGGAGACUGGAAUUCCUGGUGUAGCAGUGAAAUGCGUAGAUAUCAGGAGGAACACCAGUGGCGAAGGCGCCGCUCUGGGCCGUGACUGACGCUGAGGAGCGAAAGCGUGGGUAGCAAACAGG